AUCCCCUUUCUCUACCGUUCUCUCUACUGCUGUGGUUUGGAUAGGCGUGGCCAUGGGUUAGGCAAGGGAGAGCACUGGAGAACGCGGCAAUCUACUGGACCUCGUCAUGUACGGCAGCUAGCUGUUGUGGCGACGGGUCUGGAGGUUGGUGGCGCUGAGGAGGCGGUGACGCAUCUGACGGAGGGCACACUGGUUCGCUGAGUUCCCGGAUGAACUCGUGCAUGCUGAUCUUCCAAGCCGGUUGUACCAAAUCGAGUGGGCUGCAAGUGCGUUGUCUUGGAGGCCAUUCCUGACCGAGGCAUGGUCCGCGCGGUCAAGCUACUGCUGUUGCGCCGGUCACCAGGGAGACCGCAUCUUGCGUCGCUAAUCUGGAAACGCAGAUGCCGGUCACCGGGGAGGUCACGGGUGCGGGGACAGAGAACUUUGGCGUCGCGUUGAAAGGCAUGUUGUUACUUUUUUGUCCCAGGCUAAGGAAGAGCAACAGGGGUUAGAGCAUACGUUAUUUUCCAGGGUGCUGCAACUGCCCGUGCACAAGUUCGGGAUACUAGGAUACCCCUACUCUAGUACACCGACAAUAUGUAACUGUAAUUAUAAUUUAGUAAUUAGUACAUAUCCUCGUACAUAAUUUCUGUUGUAUGGAUUAUUUACAGAAUGUGGAUCAUAGAGUUACCAUUUCAAACUUCAUCGAUCUCUCUUUUGAUUUUGUAGGGGUUAGAGCAUACGUUAUUUUCUUCAGUGGACAUUCAACCCAACUUAAAAUAUUGUUCCUUCAACACUUCCGUAGCAUGCAUGAUCAAUCAGUGAAGAAAAUUACGAAGGGUGGGGUGUGGCAGAGAAUAAUGGCUGGCUAAUGGAGAAUGGUUGGAUCUGAGGCACAUGACAAAGAGGGCACUGCGUCUAUGGUCCAUGAGAGGCAUGGGUAACGGAGGCAGAUUCAUAUGAGGAGAUCAUGGGAUAAAUAAAUAACAGCAAAAUGUGAGCAGCGUGUGCAGGCGGCCUCUGAGUUGUUGCCCUCAUUGCUAGUGAUGCUGGAUUCCUACCAAAUGUCUCAGAGACUCGUUAUCCAGGAAGAGUGAUGAUAGCAUACAUUGGAACUCGUACCUGAUUUCUCCGGAUUCAUGUAUCACUCUAGUAAGUUCUUGUAAUGUUCUCUGCCUAUAAAACAUUUGUUCUUCUAGUGUUCCUUGAGUACUAUAUCUAUGCUGACCUUUUUAGUGAAAUUAUUUCUGCCGAGUGCCUAUGUGGAUUAAAUAAGAAUGGUUGAUCUUUGCUUCAGCUUGACUUUGAUGCAAGUACACUUAAGUUUUUAUCACAAUCAUUAUAAAUAUAAUAAGAGGUGCAGAUAUUUUUGUUGGCAUUGAAGGAUGUCAUGGAUCGGUUGCCUUCCUGGACCUCACAAUGUUGUUGCCUUCAAAACUAUCUUAAAAAGUAUUUGUUUACAGUGUAUGUAUGAAAGCUUAUUACAAAUUUAGACAUUUUUGUAGGAGAUUAGAAAUAGAAAUGAAGACUUGUUCAGAUGGAAACAUCUAAACACACAUGAGUCAGCAAAGAUAUUACCUAAAUUAAUUUGAUGGCUUGUUGUCUGCCUUCUUUUGAUGCUGGGUGCCAAGACGGCAAGACGUCACAGGAGCGUACUGGAUGCAUCGUGUCUUUGAUCCUCCGGCAUGACGGAAAGCAUACUGGAUAGCCUGCAGUCAUGGUUUCGAUCUACCGGGCGUUCGAGCAUAGCUUGUGUGUUCAAACCCAUCAUGUUUCAGCGCAUGCAUUGGGUGUUUUCUCUCCUUCAUGUGUUACGACAUCCUUGUAUAAUUGUGUUUGUAGAUGCCUAUGCUUGAAAGAAAUCAAUCAAGCCAUAUGAAAAUCAAGUAGAAAAUAAUUGACCAGAUUGUACUUUGCCUUUGAUAGACGUGCACGUGACGGACUUGUAUACAUCUAUCUAGGCAGGUUGACUGGUUCUAGUACAUGGAUGCCUAUA